rnacentral:lncRNA from 10 species
GCCAUUUGUAAACAGCAGAUACUGUAUUGGACAACCCAGCUGCCAUGUCAACCAUAGUAAAUGCUACAAAUAAUAAUUUGACAACUCAUGAGUUCUUCCAGAACCAUGCAUUGGAACAGGAAGACAGCUAGAGAAUGGACACUUGGCAUUACUUGGAAACGAUACCUUUUCAACAAUCUAUUGCAUUCAUGCUGUCAAAGAGCAAGGAUUUGAAAAGCUAAUUAAUUAUCUCCUUUCUUAUCUAAGAGCUUCUGCUGCGCAUACCCUCUCAACAUUCUGAAGUGGAGCCUGAUGUCACCAGCAGCAGAUCCCAG